GAGAUGGGUAAUGAAUUUUCCCUCACUAGGAGAUCUUUGUUGUUUGUCCUUCAUUCAGAGAAUCAUGACAUCAGGGAGCUGAUGCCAUGAUUUUCAAGUGAAUUGAAUUUAAGUGGAGGCUGUGCAAGGUGAUCUGCCUCAUUGUCUCCCCCACAGCCAUUGAUCUAUUUUUUAGAUCAGGAUGAUUGGAGAUGGCCCUGGAUACAGUGGGAGAACUUGGCCUUUAAAACAGGUCUCAGUUUGACUGAUACAACAUCCAAUCAGUGAUUAAGGAUGAGUAAGAAAUAAGUAGAGGAUGGCCUUUUUUACUUAGUAAAAAAAAAUCAAUCUGGGAAGGGAAGGUCCUCAGGGUUUCUGGUCAAAAACAGAAAUAAUUGCUCUUUAUACUCAUUCUGGGAUAUUAGGGCUAAAACACUGAUCAAGUUCAAACUUGGACUGAGACCUAUUGUCAAUCAAUGAGAGUCUUAGUGAUUUGAAUUUAAGGUAUGAGCCCUAAGAAAGAAAUCUAGGCUGUAAAUCCCAAAAUGUCUUUCCAGGUUUCAUCGAUCAAAAUUUAUAUUUGGGUAGAGCACCUGAAGGAAUGAGUAUGAUUCCCUGUAUGGACAGAGGGAGAGAAGGGAGAGAGUAGAAAAGGGAAGGAAGGAAGGAAAGAAAGAAGGAGGAAAGGAAGAAGGAAAGGUUGGAAGGAGGGAAGAAAGGAAGGAAGGAGAGAAGGAGGGAAGGAGAGAAGGAAGGAAGGAAGGAGGGAAGAAAGGAAGGAAGGAGGGAGGAAAGGAAGGAAUGAAGGAAGAAGGAAGGAAGGAAGGAGGGAAGAAAGGAAGGAAGGAAGGAAGAAGGAAGGAAGGAAGGAAGGAAGGAAGGAAGGAAGGGAGGGAACGGAACUGUGUUGCCCAAUGGAACAAAGACAAACAACAACCUGUGAAUAGUAAAAGCUGCCUCACUGGGGACUCAACCAAUUGGCCAGGGGAUCUUUAAUGCAAGAAUGAAUGAUCAAUUGUUGAAAGUGUUGCAAGGGAAUGACUGACCAAAUAAGGGCUGGGGCUUCUGAGGCCUCUGAGGUGACAAAGGAGAAAGGAAGAGGGAGGAGAUGAGGGAGACAGUAGGAUGAGGAAAAAGAAAGAUGGAAAAUGAGGGGAGUGGGAAGGAAAGAAGGGGGAAGAAGGGUGAGAAAUUGGAAUGGGAGGAGGAAGAAAGGAGGUUGACAUGAGGAGAGCCCAAUGAUGUAGGUAGGUUGGGGAGAGAAAGUAUGGGUAUUUACUUCAUUUCAGCUUUCCUCAGUCCUUUUCUUCCCUGUGCAGGUGUCUCUUUGCCCUGUUGAGCAAGGGAUAUGUCAGGGCAGCCACAAUGGGCCAAAAUUGCUAAAAUGCUAGAGUUAGGAGGGGACUCAGAAGACAGAAUAGCAGAAUUGAGAGGAACAUUACAACAUAAGACUAUCAGAGCUUAGAGGAAUUUUAGAAUAUGGAAUACAGAAUAUCAGGCCUGGAAGAGUGCUUAAGAUAGAACAAUAAAGAAUGUUUGAGCUGAGAGCCCUUAAAACUUAGAACCACAAUGCAGACCUGCGAGAAUCCUUAAAGAAUAAUACAGAAUGUUGGAGAUGGAAGGGCCCUUAGAACACAGAACAUGGGGUGUCAGAACUGGAAGAAUGCUUAAAGAAUAAUACAGAAUGUUGGAGAUGGAAGGGCCCUUAGAUCACAGAACAUGGGGUGCCAGAACUGGAAGAAUCCUUAAAGAAUAAUACAGAAUGUUGGAGAUGGAAGGGCCCUUAGAACACAGAACACGGGGUGCCAGAACUGGAAGAAUCCUUAAAGAAUAAUACAGAAUGUUGGAGAUGGAAGGGCCCUUAGAACACAGAACACGGGGUGCCAGAACUGGAAGAAUGCUUAAAGAAUAAUACAGAAUGUUGGAGAUGGAAGGGCCCUUAGAACACAGAACACGGGGUGCCAGAACUGGAAGAAUCCUUAAAGAAUAAUACAGAAUGUUGGAGAUGGAAGGGCCCUUAGAACACAGAACACGGGGUGUCAGAACUGGAAGAAUGCUUAAAGAAUAAUACAGAAUGUUGGAGAUGGAAGGGCCCUUAGAACACAGAACACGGGGUGUCAGAACUGGAAGAAUGCUUAAAGAAUAAUACAGAAUGUUGGAGAUGGAAGGGCCCUUAGAACACAGAACACGGGGUGUCAGAACUGGAAGAAUGCUUAAAGAAUAAUACAGAAUGUUGGAGAUGGAAGGGCCCUUAGAACACAGAACACGGGGUGUCAGAGCGGGGAGGGUUAUUAGAACUUAUAACGCAGAAUGUCAGAGCCAAGGAGGGACUACGCAGUAUGGAUGCCAGCCCUGGAGGGACCUUAGAACAGAGGAUGUCAGACCUGGGACCGGUUUUAGAACAGAGAACACUGGAUGACCGAGCUGGGGGUGGGACUUAGAAAGCAGGAAGUCAGGGCUGAGGGCUGGGGCUAGUGGUCCUUAGAACAUGGAAGAUAGAGAAUCAGAGCCACGAGGGCCUCAGACACAGGCUAUCUGAGCCGGGAGUGUGUGUGUUGUGGGGCAGAGACUGGGAACACAGGGUGUCAUGACCAGGAGCGGAACUUGGAGCCCAGGACCCAGGACGUCGGGGCACGUCGGAGCCGGAGGCCCCGGGGCAGCCUUGAUGGUAGGGGGCUCCCUAGUCGCAGUAAGGGCCCAUAACACCCAUUUGUCGAUGUCAAGGGUGGCCCUGUCCUCCGGCUCGUGGGAGCAUUAAAUCGGGAUCCAAACCCACGCCGGCGGAGGCCUCCCCUUCCCGCCCCGGUGUCCCCGGUGAACCUGCGGAUCUCGGGCUCCUCGGCUCUCGCUCCUCCGCGUUGCCCCGGCUGCCCCGCGCUCCCAACAGCGCCACCUGGCGGCCGCCGGAGAACAAGACAGUCCCCUUGUCCGUCCCAGGCCGGGCCCAUCCUCUUUCGCUAGCUUGGGGCGGAGGUCCGCUGAUGGUGGGGGCCUGCGGAGCGCUGCCUAAGCAGAGGCGGCCCCAUUCUGACCUCUCCAGCGUCUCCUUCUGAACCUCCCUUCUCUCUCUUAGUCCUGAAUCGCCCUUUUCCGUCUCUGCCCCUUCGGAUCUGUUUCCCUGUUUCUCUCCCCCGCUUUUCUCUGUGGGUUUCUCUUGCGUCCCUCGGUCUCUCCUGUUUCUCUACCUCCGGGCUCAGUCCCGGGGUUAUUUCUGGGAACCCCCCGCUCCAUCCCAUCCCGUUUCUUGCUCAAGGCCCCGCUCCCCGGAUCCGUGACGUGCCCCCACACCCAGGACUCAAUCCUGGCCUGGGGGUGCUGCCCAGCUCUCAGGCCCCGAGGCUGAAGUGAGACCUUAAAGGGCCAGUUCCCGGAACUUGAGCAUCGUGCGGGUAGGGAUCCCUGAUGCGGGGGGAAUUCUGAGGCGCCACUAACGCGUGGGGAAGCAGGACCUCCGACACAGAAAAGGACUCAGGAAAUAAAAUCGAGGACGUAGCGAUUACUUAUCCGAGGUCACAGUCCCCUUCCAGCCGUUUAGUGUGCUCUGUGCCCAAGAUCUGGGGCGGCUGGAAGCGUGGCCCGACACUAGGACUUCCCUAGGGGACGCCCACAAUCCUGGGGAAUAGAAACGCACGGGAAAGUCACCUAGGGGCACCAGUCCCCUGACACUUUAAUCUUUGAAUAGAUUCCUUCCCUCCCCCCAAAUCAGUGAGCUUCACCUUGAAACAAGUACUUACAAUGAUAAAAAAGGGAAAAUAGUUCGUCAAUAAUAAUCAACACAAUGGCCACAUUUAGCAACACACGUGACAUUUCUCCACCUCUUUUUCAUAAGAUUUCCUUCUGACUUGAACUUUUCAAAUGAAUUUUGUUGUAGGAUCCUAGAAUAUCAGAGCUGGAGGAAAUCUCAGACAUCAUUUGAUCCAAUUAAUAUCUGAGCGGAAAUUUUUUUGACAAAAUCCUUAUGAUGCUCUAGUUUCUGCUUAACCAUUUCUGGUUAUGGGGCGCUCAUUUCUUUCCAAGAUAAUCUAUUUCACCACGGGAGGAUCUUCUCCGUCACAUUAAGGUAAAAUCUACCUGGGUGAGAUUCAUCCCAGACGUAUUGAACUUCAUCUCCACUUGGAGCCAAUACAGAAGACCCUUGCCUUUGAGGCUAAUUGUUUUCUGCUUCUUUCUAGAAUUAACUUGGAUCCAAAUUACAUUCUCUUCUCUGCCAUUGCUACUCUCUUGGUCUUUUCAGGAUCUUCAUUCUUCUGUCCUUUUUUCUCUUCUGGUUCCACACAAUAAUACAUAUUCUAUGAUUUAUUUACAAGGGAAAAGCAAAUUAACAAUUUAAAAUCUAUUAGGAAGAAGAUUGUUAUAUGUGCAAAUGAAAGAAAUCUGUCUCAUCUCAGACUGAGUACCAUCUAACGUUUCUGUUGUAAAUCUUGAUUAAACCUCCUUGGUCCUAGAGAAGUCUUCCCUGAUUUUGUCUCAGGUGGGAGAAGUCUUAAAGAGUCCUUAAAAGAAUCAGACCAUAUUUCUUGGAACAACCUUUACAUUAAUUUUGGUAAAUCAUUCCAUUGAGAACAUCCAUUGGUCCACUCUAUAACUGAAGGCUAUGAGUCAGGAAUCUUUUUUUUUUAAUAUUUGAUAUUUUAUCCCUUCCAAUUACAUGUAAAAACAAUUUUGACAUUCCUUACCCCCCUCCCUCCAGAUUUUGAAUUCCAAAUUCUCUCCCUCCUUUCUUCUCCUUUUUGAGAAAGAAAGCAAUUUGACCUGUUCUAUGUGCAUAGUCAUACAAUACACAUUUCCAUGUAAAUCAUGUUGUGAAAGAAAACCCAACAAAAAUCCCCCAAGAAAAAUAAAGAAAUUAAAGAAAAAAUAUCUUUAAUCUACAUUCAGGAUCCAUCAGUUCUUUCUCUGAAGAUGGGCAGCAUCUUUCAUCAUUAGGAAUCUUUCUAAUGUCAAGGCAAGAUCUGGGGUGCAAUGGCCCAGUUACAGCUCAGUAUCAGAUGUGUCACAGUCAUGCUGAGGAUAUCCCAGUGGCAUCCAUGGCUCCAGGAAGGAAGCCAUCCAUAGAACCAACAGUGGAGUCUCUCUGGAAGGAGGAAGUUCUCUAGGCCUUGCCAGCAAAGUCCUUGGGCCCUAGUAGGGCUACAGAGAGGUCAGUGGGAGUGAAUUGGGAACUAUCAAGCGAAAAUAGACUUUAGCUGGGUCAGGGGAUAUGCAGAAGGAAUAAAACAUAUCAGUUAAAUUAAUAAUUCCAACCCACCAACACCAGCACCCUUGUGAAGGGAAAGGUUCCUGGAUAGAAGAGAGACAGUGGUUUCAGUAUUCAAUAAAGCUGGAGACUGUUGGUUUUUAUGGGAACCAGGGACAGUGAGGACUGUGAAGGGGUAUAGGUUUCCAGGCAGCUCUUUACCUAGGGGCCUAUCAUGUUCCUAGACUUUGUUCUCCAUUUGGAGAUCCUGCCAGUGGUGCAAGUCCAGUGCUUCUCCCCAAUGCAGAGAGGCAAUGUGUUUUUCUGCCUACUUUCUCUUUCACAAUAGUAAACAGGUCUUGCAGCUCUUUGGGUGGGCAUCCAGAUAUUAACCAUUUGGCAGCCACUAGCUCUCCAAGGUGCCAGUUCAGUUUUGCUAGGGUGUCUUGCUCUCUCCAUCUCUCAUGCUAUCCUCUAUGUUCAUACUUAUUUAUUUUAUUUUAUUUGCUUUUCCUGGCCUUUGGCUUCCUCUAUUCCUUCCUUUAUCUGAGGAAGUCAGGGUAUUGCCUCAAUCUGCUCAUUUUUUCUCUAGGAAAAAGUCUAGCUAUAUCUGUGAGUCCUGUUCAGUCUCAUGCCACUGGAUGGUGUCCAGAAGGUCCAGAGGGAUUUGUUCCACCUCAUCAGUGUCUACCAAAGAGUCCAGUUUGAUACCCAAUACCAAAUCUUUCAGGAACAGAGUAUGGGCAUCCUCACUCCAUAUCCUCAGAAAAAUCCUACUGUUAUUGUCUCCAUUUUACAGUUGAGGAACCUGAAACAAGAUCAAACAGCUAAGUGUCUAAUGCCAGUUCUGAAUUAAAAUCUUCUUGGUCCCCUAUCUCAGUUGUAUCAGAAAGUUUUUUUUCUUUCCUUCAUUCCAUUUAGGAUAGCUAAAAAAUAGGCUGUAUGCCUAUUAGAGUUGCUUCAAUAUUGGGCAUUUAUCCACAUAGACUUGGGCUCCUCGAUUCCAUAGCAUUGAGGAGAAAAAACUCUUUUUAAAACUUCUAAGGAUGUACACAAUUGGGUUUCCAUCGUCUUUUCCAGCUUAAUCUUAUACUAUAGUCUUUCAUGACUUCUACAUUCUAGUCAAAUUAGACUUACAAAUCAUUCUCCAAACUUAACAUGCUAUUGUGUCUCUGUGCACUAAGUAAAUUGAAUUGAAUCCUCCUUGAAACAAAGUCUUCAGGGCAGCUAGGUGGCACAGUGGAUAGAGUACCAGCCCUGAAGUCAGGAGGGACCUGAGUUCAAAUUUGGCCUCAGACACUUAAUACUGCCUAGCUGUGUGGCCCUGGGCAAGUCACUUAAACCCAAGUGCCUCAGCACAAAAAAAAAAAAAAAAAAAAAAAAAAGAAA